GUGAGGAAUAUUGGUCAAUGGGCGAGAGCCUGAACCAGCCAAGUAGCGUGCAGGAUGAAGGUCCUAUGGAUUGUAAACUUCUUUUGCAGGAGGGUAAAGUGAGCUACGUGUAGUUCAUUGCAAGUACCCUGCGAAUAAGCAUCGGCUAACUCCGUGCCAGCAGCCGCGGUAAUACGGAGGAUGCGAGCGUUAUCCGGAUUUAUUGGGUUUAAAGGGUGCGGAGGCGGACUAAUUAGUCAGCGGUGAAAUUGUGCGGCUCAACCGUAAAACUGCCGUUGAAACUGUUAGUCUUGAGUGCGGUAGAGGUAGGCGGAAUGUGUGGUGUAGCGGUGAAAUGCUUAGAUAUCACACAGAACACCGAUUGCGUAGGCAGCUUACUGGAGCGCAACUGACGCUGAGGCACGAAAGCGUGGGGAUCGAACAGGAUUAGAUACCCGAGUAGUCC
rnacentral:rRNA from 1 species